rnacentral:rRNA from 1 species
CCUACGGGGGACAGCAGUGAGGAAUAUUGGUCAAUGGACGAGAGUCUGAACCAGCCAAGUAGCGUGAAGGAUGACUGCCCCAUGGGUUGUCAACUUCUUUUAUAUGGGAAUAAAACGUUCCACGUGUGGGAUUUUGUAUGUACCAUAUGAAUAAGGCUCGGCUAACUCCGUGCCAGCAGCCGCGGUAAUACGGAGGAUCCGAGCGUUAUCCGGAUUUCUUGGGUUUAAAGGGAGCGUAGGUGGAUUGUUAAGUCAGUUGUGAAAGUUUGCGGCUCAACCGUAAAAUUGCAGUUGAAACUGGCAGUCUUGAGUACAGUAGAGGUGGGCGGAAUGCGUGGUGUAGCGGUGAAAUGCUUAGAUAUCACGAAGAACUCCGAUUGCGAAGGCAGUUCACUGGACUGCAACUGACACUGAGGCUCGAAAGUGUGGGUAUCAAACAGGAUUAGAUACCCGAGUAGUC